rnacentral:lncRNA from 1 species
AACGCAUUCUCUUUUUUCCUGUGAGUGGUUCUAAGCUGUAGGGAACAGGGGAAGGGGACGUUACCAGAACCUCUGGAGUAAGUCCUAGUCUCCUGAGAGCCAUGGCAGCACAUGGUGAAUUACAGGAAAGGUAGACAAAGGAGACUGAGAAGAAGCUGAGCUUUGGGUCUGAUCAGUGCUGCUCUGGGUGGCAAAGACAAGAAGCCCUAGCUUGCAGCACCUUUUAUUUAGUACAUCCGAAGAAACAAAUGUAACAAAUGAAUAAUGUAGAUUUCAGGAUCGCAUUGGGAUGAACAAAGUGUAACAAAAGACUGGGUGGGGGAGGCAGAAAUCUAAGAACAAUGAGGAACUAUAAGGCCAGAAUCCUCCCCCAUGGCUGGAGAUGUGUUCUGGCAGAAUAUACAUAAUCUCUUUUUUAUGUGAUUCUUUCUCAGCAAUUUCAGAAGCAUCCCAUUUGCUUGGAACAGCCUCAAAGUGGCCUGAAACCCACCUCCACUUUUGAAGUUGAGUAGUGCCAUCCCAAAAUGUUCCCACAUGGCAGAAGAUGUGGUAAGAGGCAUCAAAUUUGCUGUGAGAAGCUGUUGACUGGCCCUGAUGCUGCCUCAACUCCUGGAGUGUGGUUGUGCCAGGACAGAAUCCUUCCUCGUGGCUGGAGAUGUGUUCUGGAUGAAUGUAAAUAAUAUCUUUUAUCUGUAAUUCUUUAUGAGCCA